CUGGUGAAUUAUAGCUGAAAUUGUGAUAAAGUUACGCAUCUAUUUUGUAUCAAAAAUAGCCGAUAAUUGUUUGUGAAAAUUUUCAGAUGUCGUCAAAUAUUUUUUCUGAGGUACUAUGGAAUGGAAUUUUAGGCGAUGAAGAAGAGAGGGGACCCGAAAUGUCCAAUAUUAUAAACGGUCUGUCAGUGCCAAUCAAAGCUCCAACAUGUAUAAUACAGAGCUGCAAUCCAAGAGUAUGAGGAUCACGGUUUAGAUUUCCAGCAAGAAAAAAAUUGUGGCUGAAGGCCCUUCAUUUAAAUCAAGAGUAUAUCACAGUAAAAGAUCCAAGAGUAUGUGAAAAACAUUUCAAACCCUCUGAUUUUAAAAGUAAUUUAUAGUAUAAUAAAUAUUACGACGUUAA
rnacentral:lncRNA from 1 species